GACGAACGCUGGCGGCGUGCUUAACACAUGCAAGUCGAACGGUAAGGCCCUUCGGGGUACACGAGUGGCGAACGGGUGAGUAACACGUGGGUGGUCUGCCCUGCACUUCGGGAUAAGCCUGGGAAACUGGGUCUAAUACCGGAUAGGACCACUGCCUGCAUGGGUGGUGGUGGAAAGCUUUUGCGGUGUGGGAUGGGCCCGCGGCCUAUCAGCUUGUUGGUGGGGUGAUGGCCUACCAAGGCGACGACGGGUAGCCGGCCUGAGAGGGUGACCGGCCACACUGGGACUGAGAUACGGCCCAGACUCCUACGGGAGGCAGCAGUGGGGAAUAUUGCACAAUGGGCGAAAGCCUGAUGCAGCGACGCCGCGUGAGGGAUGACGGCCUUCGGGUUGUAAACCUCUUUCAGCACCGACGAAGCGCAGGUGACGGUAGGUGCAGAAGAAGGACCGGCCAACUACGUGCCAGCAGCCGCCGUAA
rnacentral:rRNA from 1 species